GAUGAAUGGUAUCCCUCGGUCCAACCCACUUUCAGCCUGGCGCAUUAGGGGGCGCUAGUAUAAAUAGUGGCCAUUUGAGUGUCCCUGGAUCGCUUGCCUGUGACCUCCUUUUUGGUCACCUGACUUCCUGUUGGUGUUGCUGAGAUUAGUUGCGGGUUACUUUUCUGAAGCCUCCAUCGCAGCUGAUGCGGAGUGCUGACGUGGAGGAGACUAGGGUGCCUUGGUGGUGGGAUCCUCUGAGUGUACACACCUGCCUUGUUUAAUUUAUUAGUGUGAGUGUGCUGCACUUGUGUCUUGGUGUAUUUUUCUUUUUGAGUUUGUGUGUGGCAUCCCUGCCCUCCACUGGAUAAAAGCAAAGCAGCAGCUACUUUGGUGUGGGAUUCCACAGCUGUGUUACAGAGAUGGAGGAAGAGUUACAGGAACUCAGGGACUUGAUCGUGCAGCUGAAAGCAGACAAUGAGAGGCUGCGUCAGGAGAGGGCUGUUGGGUCAGAUGCGGAGUGCUGACGUGGAGGAGACUAGGGUGCCUUGGUGGUGGGAUCCUCUGAGUGUACACACCUGCCUUGUUUAAUUUAUUAGUGUGAGUGUGCUGCACUUGUGUCUUGGUGUAUUUUCUUUUUUUGAGUUUGUGUGUGGCAUCCCUGCCCUCCACUGGCAGGAGAAAGUAUCUCCAAGAAAAGAAACAGCCUCGGCCAUCGCACAGGCGUCUCAGCAGAAGGAUAAAUAGUUCCUAUAUCAGGAUUUGUGCCGUGGAUCAUACUCUCCGUGACUCUCGCCUCAGGUUCCGAUGGUAAGUUGACAGUUUGUUUUAAU
ensembl:lncRNA